rnacentral:misc_RNA from 1 species
UGAUAACAAACUUGCUCAGGAGUUGAAGCAAGAGGGAUCUUCACUUGUGGAAAGUCCUGGAGGUGAAGAUUCAUCAUCAAAUAUGGAUGAAUCAAUAGAUCCAGAUGGAGAUGCUGAGGUGGAAGGAAAGGGACCGGAGGUGAAAGUAGAGGAUCCUGAGCAGCGAUACGGCUCUGUCAAAGAGAAGCAUGAGGCAGAGGAGGAUGGGGAUGAUGAGGAAGAGGAGGAAGAAGAGGAA